GAUGAAGAACGCAGCGAAACGCGAUAGGUAAUGUGAAUUGCAGAAUUCCGUGAAUCAUCGAAUCUUUGAACGCAUAUUGCGCCUUCUGGUAUUCCGGUAGGCAUGUCUGUUUGAGCGUCAGCAAAAACCCCCCCUUCGGACUGGGUAUAUAUAUACCCCUGCCGGUGUUGGGUCAAGAAGGCUGAUAGGUGACGGUUAUGUCCUUACCUGCCCCUACCCUAAACUUGCUGUACGACCGCGGGCCCGUCCAGGCCUGGUUCAAUGGAGUGGUAUUAGUGGUCUUCCAAUGAGCCUGCCGGAAGCUCUUGCGGCACUAAACCUUGUAUCUUCUCCUUUACGGUGAAGGUACUUGACGUUUUGACCUCAGAUCAGACAAGGAUACCCGCUGAACUUAAGCAUAUCCAAUAAGCGGAGGA
rnacentral:misc_RNA from 1 species